AUUGAACGCUGGCGGCAUGCCUUACACAUGCAAGUCGAACGGUAACGGGCCUUCGGGUGCCGACGAGCGGCGAACGGGCGAGUAAUACAUCGGAACGUGCCCGAUCGUGGGGGAUAACGAGGCGAAAGCUUUGCUAAUACCGAAUACGAUCUACGGACGAAAGCAGGGGACCGCAAGGCCUUGCGCGGACGGAGCGGCCGAUGGCGGAUUAGGUAGUUGGUGGGACAAAAGCUUACCAAGCCGACGAUCUGUAGCUGGUCUGAGAGGAUGAUCAGCCACACUGGGACUGAGACACGGCCCAGACUCCUACGGGAGGCAGCAGUGGGGAAUUUUGGACAAUGGGCGCAAGCCUGAUCCAGCCAUGCCGCGUGCAGGAUGAAGGCCUUCGGGUUGUAAACUGCUUUUGUACGGAACGAAAAGCCUUCUUUUAAUACAGGAGGGUCAUGACGGUACCGUAAGAAUAAGCACCGGCUAACUACGUG
rnacentral:rRNA from 1 species